UACGUAGGGCGCAAGCGUUAUCCGGAAUUAUUGGGCGUAAAGAGCUCGUAGGCGGUUUGUCGCGUCUGCCGUGAAAGUCCGGGCUCAACUCCGGAUCUGCGGUGGUACGGGCAGACUAGAGUGAUGUAGGGGAGACUGGAAUUCCUGGUGUAGCGGUGAAAUGCGCAGAUAUCAGGAGGAACACCGAUGGCGAAGGCAGGUCUCUGGGCAUUAACUGACGCUGAGGAGCGAAAGCGUGGGGAGC
rnacentral:rRNA from 1 species